UCCGAUGGGUAUGAUGGGUCC
rnacentral:siRNA from 1 species